AUCAUGCAGUUGAGCGAGAAAGUUGUAGCAAUACGGCUUUGAAAGCGGCGCACGGGUGCGUAACACGUAUGCAACCUACCUUUUACUGGGGAAUAGCCUCUCGAAAGAGAGAUUAAUACCCCAUGAUAUGUUUCUAAGGCAUCUUGGAAAUCUUAAAGCUCCGGCGGUAAAAGAUGGGCAUGCGGUUGAUUAGCUAGUUGGUGAGGUAAUGGCUCACCAAGGCUUCGAUCAAUAGGGGGUCUGAGAGGAUGUCCCCCCACACUGGUACUGAGACACGGACCAGACUCCUACGGGAGGCAGCAGUAGGGAAUAUUGGACAAUGGGCGCAAGCCUGAUCCAGCCAUGCCGCGUGCAGGAUGAAGGCCCUAUGGGUCGUAAACUGCUUUUGUACGGGAGGAAACCUCACUACGUGUAGUGAGUUGACGGUACCGCGAGAAUAAGGAUCGGCUAACUUCGUGCCAGCAGCCGCGGUAAUACGAAGGAUCCAAGCGUUGUCCGGAUUUACUGGGUUUAAAGGGUGCGUAAGCGGACUUUUAAGUCAGUGGUGAAAGCUCGCAGCUUAACUGUGAAAUUGCCAUUGAAACUGAAAGUCUCGAGUGUGGUUGAGGUAACUGGAAUAUAUCAUGUAGCGGUGAAAUGCUUAAAUAUGAUAUAGAACACCAAUUG
rnacentral:rRNA from 1 species